AGGUGCGAUCAUAUCAGCACUAAUGCACCGGAUUUCAUUAGAACUCCACAAUUAAGCGUGUUUGGGCGAAAGUAGUACUAAGUUGGGUGACCACUUGGAAAGUCCUCGUGUUGCACCCC
rnacentral:rRNA from 2 species